CCUAAUACAAAUCAAGGGCUUCCUUUAAUAGCUAUAAGUUUUACAUCACCGAGAAACAAAUUCUACAAUAAUGUUGGUAAGCAUCAUAUUCACAUGCCACAGCCAAAAAGAGCAAGCACAUAGUAUUCUAAGAAUGGCCCAUGAAACUAAGCGAUGUAGCAGAGGAAGGUGGCAAACCUUAAUCACAGCACGACAUCCGCUAGCUACUGAUGGAUUGAACAAUACCUGGAAGAAGAACAUAGAAAUACACACAUCAAAAAGAGGCCAAGACAUGGACUGGAUCAAAUGCAUAUCCUACCGGAAAAAAACAAUAGUUGGAGGUUCGCCAUCAUGGAAGGAGGUGGAUAACAACUUCUUGUCAGAUUUUAUUGGCCACCGCAGAAAUAAAUAGAAAUCUUAACAUCCUCAUGAUUGAUUAUAGGAAAUAAUAACUUACCUUCAAAUCUCAGAGAGAGUGGCACACACAGAGAGUGAGAGAGAGAGAGAGGGAGACUUAGACACCAUUCAUCGCAGUAAAAAUGAGUGCACGUCGCAGAACUGAUCAUAUGGGAAGAAUACCCUUCAAAAUUAUAUCCCAAAAGCUCGGCGCAGCCAAUAUAAGUAUACAACUGUCAGAUAUUAGAAAAUGGUAUUAUAGGUGUGCUAAUGCCUAAAGUGCCAGAACAAAUCAUGCUCAUAUGCACAUGAGCACAUCACAACACAGACAUGCAUAAACACAUCGCAAAUUUCUGAAGAAAAGGGUCGGGGCGUCACAAUACCACAUGAUUUUCAUAGGAAAGACUUUUGGUCAUGUGUCACCUAAAAGUAUAUACAUGCAAGAACCUUUUCUCUCUUGAUCUUGGAAACAUAUACCUACCUAGAAAGAUGCUAGAAGCAUGAUCCAGGCGAGAGGAAAAGUAUUUUUUUCUAAGAAGCUAUAGAGAGAGAGAGAGAGAAGUAAGCCAGUGAUCCUCGCCUAGCUAGUGCACACACACACACACACACACAUCUCAAGCCAACACACCAUAAAUGCAGCAGCAGCACGCAAGCCACAAAUAGGCGUGUGGCACAGCGCACGGGGAAGAUAGAGACACAACCAAUAGAGUGAGGAGUAGAUAGCCACGCUUGCCGUCGAGCCGUUCACACUAAAAGGGAUAAAAGAGUAGGACGCUUCUAUUCUCAAACCUUCCCAUCGUAGGGAGUAAUUAUCAAACAGAAAAGCAAGAAGUUCCCUUCGUCCAUCCGUUUUUUAUUUUCUUUCACUUAUAUACAUCAGACUAACACACAAGCACUUCAACUAUUAUAAACAUAAUUCCCAAUUCAAGAACACGGUUGAAUAUUAGAGCACCACAUACUACUCUUCGUAAAGUAAAACUGGGCAUGCCAAGUCAUGACUGACAGACGAAGCUCGGGAAGGAUUUGAUUGUGCUAUUAGUCAGUAGGUACAUUACAGCAAGGUUGUCAGAAUCGCGAUUCUGUUAUACGAUUCUACGACUUUAUGAUCCAAAAUAACCCCUAUGAUUCUACGAUUUUAGUUCAUAGGAUCUACGUUUCUACGAUCCUGAUAGUGAAGAUUCUACGAUUUGCAAUCUUACCAUCGGAGCUCUGAUCCGAUUCAAAAUCGCGAUUCUGACAACCUUGCAUUACAGAGCUUGUUCAUGCUAAGAACAUUUGUUAUUAGAUUCUUGUAACCACACUUCAUGUUUGUAUUUUCUAAAUUAAAAUAAGCGAUCUCACUACAGUUAAAAAUAAACACAUAUAUAGCUGACAUAAUUACCUCGCUAAGCUAUUAGCAAGGUAGUUACAAAAUAUUAUGCUAUCCUAAUCAUAUUGCCAAAUUACAAUUGACCGAUUCUAGUCUAGGUUUUAAAUUUGAAAAGGGGGGACAACUCACCAUGCUCUUUGAUUUCUUCUUGGACCCAUGUUUCUUAUCACCAGUCCCCUCCCUGCCGCACGAAUCCUCAUUGAUCUAUGCAAAUCUUUAAACGAAAGCAUCCAAAGAACCAAUAUGUAUCUUCAAAAUAGAAAAAUCAAAUUCAUAAAAGCUAUCUAAUUGAUGGAAGGAGCUUUAUUUUAUAAUGGAUUCACUCUAUCAGGCAAACUGUGAUGUUUUGGCAUCCACGGUUGAAACAUCAAUAUAAGAUUCAAAUAUUUAGACAUGGCAGUGAGUCAUGAUGUCAUAAAAAGCAGAGUUUUUCUCAAUCAUUUAUGUGGGACAAAGUACAUAGUAGAUAUGCUUAAUAAUAAGUUAAAAAAGAUGACACCCAAUGACUCAAACACUAAAGCUUUGGCUUCACCAUAACAAAUUAAUCUUUGCCAUAUACAGUCUAGCCCUCAAUACCUGGCAUCUCAUUUUACAAUGGAACUCUCUUUUCCCUUGGCAAGCAG
rnacentral:lncRNA from 1 species